rnacentral:lncRNA from 10 species
GCGGUGAUUUAACAGCUUUUGUUUUGGGCAGAAGAACCUAUGGGCACAAAAAGCAGGAACGAGUAGCGGUGGCUGAAGAACGAGCAGGAGCUUGAAUUUCAGUUUUCUUAUGAGGAAUUUUCCAGAAAAGAUAUCUUCACUGUGAAAUAACUAAAUAAAUGCCCACUCAGUACAGCAGUGCCGAUGUAAUAGUAACAAAAAGUCUCAGCCUCAUUUAAGAUAAAAGGCCAUCAUCAGACAAUGCAGGACAGAUUGUAACAAUAGGAAGUACUACAGAGAUUCAGAGAAUGCCAUAAAUAACCUUGGAAUCCUGUGCUUGGGGAUGCGGAUCUCACUAUUUGCCCAGACUGAUCUCAAACUCCUGAUUUCAAGCAAUCCUCCUGCCCCAAUCUCCUACAGUGCUGGGAUUACAGGAGUGAGUCACUGUACCUUGCCUCAUUGAGUAAUUUUUUUCUUUAUCAUAUACAAUGUCUGAAAGGAGCUGCCUUCUGUCUUUUGUCCAGUUUUAAAGUUGUUUACAGUGAAAGGAGGGCUAGCCCACACAUGUUAUUAUAUCAUGUUUGGAAGCAGAAGUCAGUUACCCUUAAAUUAGAGAUGAGGAAACUGAGGAACUGAAAGGUUAAGCAACUUGCCCCAAAUCACACAGCCGUUUACCUGUGAUGGAGCUUGAAUUCAAACCCAGGCAGUCUGUCUUUAGAGAUGCUCACUUAAUUAUUGUUCUGUACAGCUUCUUAGAAAAAUGGCUUUAUAUAUGUAUGUAAAAUGUUUUGUCCAGUGUAGGUAACAUAGUCAAUCCUUAAUAAAGUCUAGCUAAAUUAUUCUUUAAAAUCCUAAAGCUCAGUAUGAAUUUGUUCCUAGCCCAGUGUUUCAAAGCAAAAGUCCCAUCAUGUGAGUUGAUCUUUAUUAACACUAAUUUUUAUUACUGUCCUACUAUUCACUGUCUCCCUUUUGGAACUUGAUGGCACCUUAAGCCCAGGUUUGCCUCCACUCUAGAAACUCAUCAGAGUGAUGCCCUUCUCAAAUGGGGGAGGUCCCAAAGCGGAUAUCCUGGCAGUGUGAAAGGCCGGCUAAAGGUUUGUGCCAAGAGGAUCUGUGGAAUGCAUCUCCUACAGCUGGUGCUGCUGAGUAACCACUCUGAUCUGGCAUCUUCUUUGAUCAAGUUACAGAGCAGAGUUUCCAGGGCUGGGGAUUGAAGUCCUGCCUCCUCCCUUUGUCUCUGGUUGUCCUCGGUAAUGUUUUUCCCUCAAGGUACUCAUGAUACUUCCCAUGGGGUUUGUUCUCAAAGAAUUCCAGAUAUGAUUUUUUUCCAGACAAAAAUACCUGCUACAUGCUUCCUUCUGUAUGAAUACAUGAGACCUACCUUCAUUCAUGUUUCCUCUAUGAAGCUUUCCCUGCACUCCAAACACAGAGCUGAGACUUCCACCUAAUGUAGAAAGCUAGCACGAGCCGGCGCUGACAGAUGGAAGACUUGAGAUGUUACAAGAUUAUAUAUGGAAACACAAAAGGGUCUCACUCUGUCACCCAGGCUGGAGUGCAGUGCUGUGAUCCUAGCUCACUGCAGCUUUGAUCUUCUGGGCCCAAGCAAUCCUCCCACCUCAGCCUCCUGAGUAGCUGGGACUCAAAGUGUGCCACCACACCUGAUUUUCUUUUUGGUAGAGAUGGGGACUCACUAUGUUGCCCAGGCUGGUCUCAAACUUUUGGCCUCAAGGGAUCCUCCCACCUUGGCCUCCGAAAGAGUUGGGAUUAUAGGCAUGAGCCAACAUGCAUGGUCAAAUGCUUUUUAAACUAGUAAUUCACCUGUAGAUACCGGAGCCAUGACAGACUGUGAUGGGGCUGGUGGACAGUUCAGCAAGACAUUGAUAUUGUCCAUUGGCGCUCAGUUCAUCUGUAAUGACACAUUCAAGGAUGACGAUUAGUGGAGUUGCUGGGUCAUAUGGCAAUUCAUUUGAGGAACUGAGAAGCUUAUUCCAUGGAGGCUGAACUGUUUUAUAUUCCCACCAGCAACGUGUAAGGUUCCAGUUUAUCUACAUCAUCACCAACACUUGCUAUUUUCCAUUUCAUUAAUGAUAGCCAUCCUAGUGGAUUUGAAGUGGUACCUUAUUAUCGUGGUUUUGAUUGCAUUCUCUAUUGACUAAUGAUAUCGAGCAUCUUUUCAUGUAUUUUUUGGUCAUUUGGUCAUUUUUCUUUUUUAAUUUUAAAAUUUUGAGACAGGCUCUCACUAUGUUGCCCAGGUGGUCUCAAACUCCUGGGUUCCAGCGAUGCUCAUGCCUCAGUCUCCCAAAGGGGUGGGAUUACAGGUGUGAGCCACUUUGCCCAGCCCAUUUGUAUAUCUCCUUUGGAGAAUAUCUAGGUUCUUUUGAAGGUAGCUGCAUAUAAACUAGCCAAAUUAACAGACUGUGGUUUUUAGAUGGCUUUCCAUAUCUACAAGAACUAUUUAGUUCUCAAAACUGGGAAGAAAUGUUUCAGAGGCAUCAUUAAUUCAUAAUCUAAAAAUUUAUCUUGGGUUUCCUUUUUUCCCCCAGAGAGACGGGGUUUCACCGCGUUAGCCAGAAUGGUUUCUAUCUCCUGACCUCAUGAUCCGCCCACCUCGGCCUCCCAAAGUGCUGGGAUUACAGGCGUGAGCCACUGUGCCUGGCCAAACGCUGGUAGGUUUUGAGUGAGACCACAUUACAUUUAAAUAUAUUUACAAUGUUUUCUGCUCUAUUCUUUAGUAGACUUUUCCUCACGUGGUCCUACGCAUUUCUUUCUAAGUUUAUUUUCAUAUAGCCUAUCCCUGUCUACAAUUUAAAUUGGGA